ACCCGCUGAACUUAAGCAUAUCAAUAAGCGGAGGAAAAGAAACUAACAAGGAUUCCCCUAGUAACUGCGAGUGAAGCGGGAAAAGCUCAAAUUUGAAAUCUGACGGCCCCGCCGUCCGAGUUGUAAUCUGGAGAAGCGUCUUCCGUGCCGGACCGUGUACAAGUCCCUUGGAACAGGGCGUCGUAGAGGGUGAGAAUCCCGUCUUUGACACGGACCCCCGGUGCUAUGUGAUGCGCUCUCGAAGAGUCGAGUUGUUUGGGAAUGCAGCUCAAAAUGGGUGGUAAAUUCCAUCUAAAGCUAAAUAUUGGCGAGAGACCGAUAGCGAACAAGUACCGUGAGGGAAAGAUGAAAAGCACUUUGGAAAGAGAGUAAAACAGUACGUGAAAUUGUUGAAAGGGAAACGCUUGAAGUCAGUCGCGUCUGCCGGAACUCAGCCUUGCUUCUGCUUGGCGCACUUUCCGGUCCGACGGGCCAGCAUCGGUUUCGAGGGGCGGACACUGGCGAGGGGAAGGUGGCGGCUCCGGCCGCGUUAUAGCCCCACGUCGCGAACGUCUCCCGGGACCGAGGAAUCCGGCGCAAGCCUGGGAUGCUGGCGUAAUGGCUUUAAACGACCCGUCUUGAAACACGG
rnacentral:rRNA from 1 species